UCUGGGCUCAGUGAAAGUGUUACAGUAUUAGGGGACAGGCUCUAACUCACUAGACUUCUCUCCACUUAAACACACAAACACAAACUGCUCCAGUCUUGGGAAAGCAACAAGUAGGGGGAGUGUGGGGGACAUCACAGAGAAGCAACAUUGAGUAUCACUGGGCUAGCAGGACUGGCUCAAUGUACUUUUCAAGGUGUUUGGAGGUUGUUUCACACAUUUUGGGAGCAAGACAGAAGGAACAUGUUGAGGCACUGAGCCAUCUAUCCCUCCGCCCGCACCCAGGCAGACUGUGAGGGAGCCUGUUGCCUUGGAUACCAGUUAGUGCAGAAACAGGCUAUUCUUUCUAGAGCAGAGAUACCAAAACAGAAUGUCGUUGUUGAUUCUUCCUCCAUUACAUGGUACACCUUUAAAUUACAAAAAAUAAAUAAAUUGCCUUACAUAAUAGUUUUGGAUCCAGUACUUUCCAAGAUUAAAAUCUAGUUGGAAGCAACCAACAGAAGCAAAUAAAUAGAAGGGGAUUUGUAAUGACCUCUUGGACAGUAUUCAGUACUAUAGUCAAUUCUAACAGUAAUAACCCUAUUCAAGUUUAACCCUCCCUCCUUUGACAAGACAUUACAUCAGGAUAAAGAGUGCACCUCCACAUAAACACCCCCAAACUGAAGCCAAAAUGCCUAAUUUGUGGAGAACUGGGAUGUCCAAUCUAAGUGAACAAUAGCAGUUUGAAGGAAUGGAAAAAUGCUUGAACAACACAAUGGCCGCUACAGACCUGUGUCUUAAACGAAGCAUGUUAUCUACAGUAAUGCUUGGCUUCAUUCUUGGAGCAGUGAUCGUGCUCACAAUCUGUGGCAAUGUGGUGGUGUGCCUAGCUGUGGGCAUAAACCGCAAGCUGCGUAGCCUUACCAACUGCUUUAUCGUGUCUCUGGCUACCACUGACCUGCUCCUGGGGCUGCUAGUGCUGCCCUUCUCUGCUGUCAUUGAACUGCACAGGAGCUGGCCAUUUGGGGCCACUUUCUGUAACAUUUACACCAGCCUGGAUGUCAUGCUCUGCACUGCCUCCAUCCUUAAUCUCUUCAUGAUCAGUUUGGACCGAUACUAUGCCGUCACUGCCCCCCUACGCUACUCCACGCUGGUGACCCACUGUCGUGUGGCUGUGGCCAUGGGGUUCAUCUGGGUGGUGUCACUCAUGGUGUCCUUCUUGCCUAUCCAUAUGGGGUGGAACACACCGGACCUCACAGUUCAGAACAAAGGCGAAAAGGACAAGGAGGACAAAUGUAGGCUCGAGCUAAACAAGGGUUACGUGCUUGUGGACGCCGUUGGCACAUUUUACCUCCCGCUGGUUGUCAUGUGCAGCACCUACUACCGCAUAUUCAAGAUUGCACGGGAACAGGCCAAGCGAAUCAACUGCUGCACCGCUUCCUCCUCGCUCAAUAACCACUGUUCUCUGCCCGCAAAAGAGCAUAAGGCCACGGUGACCCUAGCCACCGUCAUGGGAGCCUUCAUCAUCUGCUGGUUCCCCUACUUCACUGUAUUCACCUACCAGGGCCUUAGUGAGGAGGAAGUGGAUGAAAUGACCUUUGCCAUCGUGCUAUGGCUCGGCUACGCCAACUCUGCCCUCAACCCCAUCCUCUACGCAGCUCUGAACCGGGACUUCCGCACUGCCUACAGCAGCCUGCUCCACUGCCACAAAGUGGGCCCAGCCACAGCCUCCCCUCAUUCUCACCAGGGAAGAGCAGAGGUCCCCAGGGGUAGUCACCAACAACACAGCCCCGACUGUAAGGGAAGCCUACUGGAGGAGAGAGCACUCACCAUGCAGGACAGAAAUGGAAAGGAGAACCCCUUCAUCAGUGAAACCGCAGAAAGGGGUCUGCCAGUUUCCUGUAGCAAGUCAAUGUGGAUCCUGUCCUUCUGCCAGGACGUGUGGCUGGCAAAGGUAGUGCCAGCGCAGAACAGGUGGAUCUUUGAGGAGAAUGGAGCUGAGCUCAUCAAAUCUCAGAAGAUGGUUGAGCCUUAAUACAGAACCUCAGAACAGAAAAAAACUGAAUAAAAAAAAAAAAAAACAUAAUUCAUCUUUUAAGAGGGAAUCUUGGAAUUACAGAAUGCCAGAACAUGUACUAUUUUAAAACAGAACUCCAGAACAUGGUGAAUGCUGAAUUGAACUGUUCCAAUUUGAGCUACUUUCUUGCUAUCAAAUUAAUCUUGUCAUGGUAAAUAAACAAACAGACAAAUAAAUAAAUAAAUAAAUAAUUGAAUAAAUAAAGCACCUGAAGAUGAGCUGCUGUUUAAGUGCUGUAAACCACUAUGAAGGCUCAUAUGAUAGCCCUGUAUUAAAAUUCAGGAGCUGAGAAUGGAGGUGCCACAGCAGCACUGGAGCGUGGCGAUGCAAGUGACAUCUCUGAGCGACUGAGGGCAACAUCUUUGCACUGUUAAUAAAUGGUUAUUCUAAAUUGUGUGGCUUGUGAGACAGACAGGGCACAUAGAGUUACAGGUGGCUGCACAUCUUAAGAGAGCCUUUCAGAGAUGUUUUUGAUAUGCAGGGACUCCAGAAACCUUUACUUUUCACCUAGGAUGAGUACUUAUUCUUUGUUAAUCAUUAAAUCCCAUUUGUGGUGCCAAGGCAACCCCCCCUCCCCCCAAAAUUAUUGGUGUUGUUUUUAAUAAGUUUUCAAUGAAGAUGUUUUUAAUGACAAUGAAGGCUUAACAGUAAGGUUAGGAUCCUUGACACUCAAAAUUGUCUUCCGAUGCGAUUAAAUUUACAGUCAAAUCUAGAACAUAUUCCGUGAAAAUAAAAUUGUUGGUAUUACAAAGCAAAAAUAUUCUUGAAAAAUCGAUGCCCAGCUUUUGAGAAUAAAAACAGCUUCUGAGCAGAUUUUGAUCUUAUUUAAUGGGAAGAUUGAAUCAUUACACUGUGUCAGCUAUCUUCAGCAGAACCACUGCAGUUUAAGUAGAAAUGUCUAUUAAAAUACACAAGAUGGGGAAUUGAAUGUUAUUGAACUGGGGAAUCUAACAUGUCUAGCAUUAAAUAGGAUUCAAAUAGUCAUAAAAGUAUGAAACCAUUUAGAUAAACUGAUUGUUGAAAAUGAUUAACAAACUGAAUAGUUAAACAGAUUGCUAGUUUUUCUGUAAGCAUUUGUCCACUUCGAAAAGCUAAAGACACUGUACUCUGUGAUGAUUAGGCAUUGAAACAGUUCUGGCCAUGUAUAACAGAUAUCUAGUUAAUAGUAUGGCUUGCAACUAAUCAACAUCAUGCAGAAUCUGCUCUUAGAAAUGUUCUAAGUCAUAUGGACUGCUACAUUUUUAGAAAUCCAGUCAACAGCUGUUAUACUCUGCAUGCUGAAUGAAGUCACAUUCUGCCUGCUAUCAUUUCUUGACCAUUUUCUUUUCAGACUUGACAGUGUUGCAUGUCACUUUUAAGUUAUGUACUGUAUGCUUUGAAAAGUGUUCUCUCCUUAAACUUAGAUUGGCAGUAACUUUGAAAUGGAUCUCAAAAACUCAUUCCAUACAAUUGAAAAAAUAAAAAAAUUAAAAAUCCAGUUUUCAAGUGACUGUAUUUUCUUAGGGACACUAAUGUAACAUGUCUGGGUGAAAACUACCACAUACUAUACAUUCUAUACACCACAAACAUGCACCAUUGCACAAAACAGACUGACUUUAAACCUCACCACAUUGGCACAGGCCAGAAUCUGUAAUGGUGUUGCCCACAAGACUGCCCAUAACACCAAUACAAUUUGAAGUAAUUUCUGCUGUGGGGAACUGAGGGAUAUCCAUAAUUAUAAACAUUUAAUCUGAGUAAAAUUGGAGCAGUCUCAGAUA